AAAUGGCAGCGGUUUGACUCCAAAGAAGCCAUUUCUUGUCCACAGGGCCCUCUGAUGAUGGCUGGAGAUCUGGUCCCAGGGCAGCUCUCUGCAUGAUGCUUUACUACACCGGCCCUGUCCAUGGUGCUGCUCCACAUUCUCCAGGACCGGGGACCCUCUGCAUCCAGCACCUAGCUGGGGAAAUGAGCUACAAGCCACACAAGGGCAGAGAUUGUGGCUAUUGUGUUCAUCUGGUCACCAGCACAGUCUUGGAACAGAGUAUUAGCUCCAUGGAACACAUACGAAUGAGCGGAUAAAUGAGUAAAUGCUGGCUUAAGACUCCACUUUAUGCGACUUUCAGGUCAUUUAAAGAGACAUCGUGACCUUAGACGGGGUUUGUGGGCGAAAAAGUAAUCAAAUAAAUUUGGAACAUGCUGUA
rnacentral:lncRNA from 1 species